rnacentral:tRNA from 1 species
GGAAGGGUAGCUCAGGUCCGCUUCUGCGGCUCGGGUAGAGCAGUAACAAUAAGCCUGGCAACAGGCUUUAACAGCAAAAUACUAGGUCGCCGGUUCGAGUCCGGCCCCUUCCA